rnacentral:rRNA from 1 species
ACUCCUACGGGAGGCAGCAGUGGGGAAUAUUGCACAAUGGAGGGAACUCUGAUGCAGCGACGCCGCGUGAACGAAGAAGGCUUUCGAGUCGUAAAGUUCUUUUAUAUGGGAAGAUAAUGACGGUACCAUAAGAAAAGCCCCGGCUAACUACGUGCCAGCAGCCGCGGUAAUACGUAGGGGCUAGCGUUGUCCGGAAUCACUGGGCGUAAAGGGUUCGCAGGCGGAAAUGCAAGUCAGAUGUAAAAGGCAGUAGCUUAACUACUGUAAGCAUUUGAAACUGCAUAUCUUGAGAAGAGUAGAGGUAAGUGGAAUUUUUAGUGUAGCGGUGAAAUGCGUAGAUAUUAAAAAGAAUACCGGUGGCGAAGGCGACUUACUGGGCUCAUUCUGACGCUGAGGAACGAAAGCGUGGGUAGCAAACAGGAUUAGAUACCCUGGUAGCUACG